rnacentral:lncRNA from 1 species
ACUAAACUUUAAUUGUAAUAAAAUAGUCAUUUAUUACAUUUUAAUCAUUAAAUCGUUAUCUUCAAUUAAAAAGUGACGGAAAUCUAACGCCGAUGAUAAUUGUAGACGUGUAUUUCAGGUCAAUGUUACCUAAGUCAAAAGUCAUUCUAAACAAAAGCAAAACCUUUCUUUCAUGAACCCUAAACAACUGCCGAUGCAAUCCCGUCGCUACCAAAUGUCAUUGGGUUAAGGCUCGAGCUUUCAAGUCUUCAAUGUCCGAAUCUGUUUGCAUAAAUGAGAGCCAAAGCAGUUCAACCAUGCCUUAUAGAACCACCUCGAGCCGACCAUAUUUGGGUCCCUUAGCUGGAACUUUGACACCUACAAGAAAAGAGGACUUAGAGAUUCCAUAUCUUAAUCUUAGGGAACUUAGCAUAGAGCACCAACAAAGGUUUUCCACCUCUUCCAUGCCCGUUUAUUUGGUCACUUGAGACCCAAACC